UGAGGGGAGUUGUGUCUCCUCAGGCACUGCCGGGGCUGCGCCUGGGACGCUGGGCUCAGCGUCUGUGCUGACAGGAGCUCGGUCUCCUCAGGACUCGCUGGGGUUUCGGCUUCAGGACAACGUGGGGCUGCGUCCACGCUGACGGGAGCUGGGUUUCCUGAGGACGCAGGCGACGCCGGCGGAAAAGGGUCGCAUAGGACACGGGGUCAUCAUGUCUGUUUAGUCUUCUCUGGGCUCUGACAGUUGCUCAGACUCUCCUUGUUUCCAUGACCUUGACAGCGUGGAGGAGGGCUGCUCAGGUAAUCCACAGGACCCACGACAUGGUAGCUAACUAACAUACUCUUCCCACGGUGCCUGUUAAUACCAUGUGGACUCCUACAAGGGAAUCUCAGAUUUACCUGACGGCCACCACUCACAGUUCCCGCAGAGCCCAGAGAUUUCUCCUUGAAGGAAAGGUUCUGGAAAAUCAGAGGGAUAAAUAAAGGAUGCAGCUGAUUCCCGCCUUGUGCUGACACCCAAGAGUGUGAGGAGAGCCACGAGGCAUGUGGGAUCUUAGCUCCCCACCCAGGGAUCAAACCAGCACCCCCUGCAUUGGAAGAUGAAGUCUUAACCACUGGUCUGCCAGGGAAGUCCUCACAUUCCUGUAUUGUUGAACUUGAAUUUCUGAGCUAUGUCAGACUUGGGAUGCCACUAGCCAUUUUCAAAACAAUGUCUGCUGGUAGCUGCAACUAGUUUUCAGAUUGCUUUCCCCACAGGUCCGUGGGCAGCAAAUAAACCCACCCAUGCUGAAGCGGCAGCUGAAAGUCCUAAAUGGUUUGGUGAGUAACAGUCAGGAGCCAAGAACACUCUGUGCCAGGAGAGCCUGUGUUGCUAACAAAGCAAUUAGUAGCCCUUCCCUGGUGCAGAGUGUCAUCGUCAUGCUUUAUCCAAUUACUCAGAAUAUAUCAGAAGCAAAGCGCCAGUGUUAUUUUACGAAGAAUUAGAAUCCUAAACUACAAGUUACAAGGCUGUUCUCUGGUUUACUCUCCCAUGUGGAGGGUUGGCUGAGGCCACGGAAGUGAAUGUGGUCUGCUUGCCUGGUUUCAAACGUAGCUUCAGACAAAAAUAAAGAUACUCAUUUGUGGACAACAUGAAUGUUUAUACCUUUCAGUGACUCAUCUUUGCCAUCCUUCCAAAAGCUCGAUACAUUUAAGAAAUGUUAGCUACACUGUCAUAGUUAUAUAAAAGGUAACUAAGAUUAAGAGAUCAGAUGCAGGGUUGGUGUGGGGAGGAAUGAUGCCUAUGUAUGUAUGGUCACAUUUUUAAGUGGAAGAAUUAAAAAGGGGAACUAUAACUUUCACGUCUUACCCAAACAGAGGUUUCUGCAGACAUCAAUAGAACUCUUAUUUUACUAGCAAUGCAGUUGAGCACAUAUAUUAACACUAAAAGGGUUGAAAGGAAAAAGGGGACAGCACUGCUUUGCACCCAUUAACAAUGUGAUAUCAAAAUGGAAACAUACGUCUUUUAGGAUGAAAUCUAAUAAAUAAUUGAGAACCACUGUGAUGCCUGACACUUUACUACCAAAUACUCACAUCUAACAGUUUUUAGAUUGUCUAUCAGAAGAUAAACAUAUACCCAAAAAUAGACCUGAUUCACCUAGAUUUGAGAUACGAAUUCAUCUUCUCUUUGCUAAUUAAAGGGAAAGAACAAGGUAUUUCUUACCUGCACGUGAUUUCGUGUGUGGGCAAGACUCGGCGCAUCUCUGGGUUCUCGUCUUGGCCUUCAUACGCUACGGCCUGUAAACAAAGGCACGAUUUGGGCUAAGAAUGGAACCAAGUAGCAGAGGACAAACUACCACAAUCGAGUUCUUGACCAUUCACCAGUGCUGCAAGGCCAACUAGCUUUCAGAGCCAAAGGCCUCACUGGGCUGAUUGUUUUAAGACAGUUGUUAAGGAUCAACCCAAAUUGAGUGGAAGGGGAUAUGUUCCUCUCUGUCCCAUCAACCACCUUAUUAUAAUGCACAUCUUUGGAUCCUUGUAUGAGAUGGGCUUCUGUCAUCAAGACAACCACAGUUCUCUCUUCAGUUCAGAAUAAAAAUAAAUCUAAUCAGUGGGGAAGGAAAAACCCAGAAGGCUUAGCAGACUGAGAUACUAGUGAUUUAAAAUAUAGAAAAGCACAUGGAUUUUAUUUUUAAAUGAUUUGUAUUUGUCACCUCAUUUUACUACUUCCAACUCCAACAUGUAAUAUUCAAGAGGUAAGUAGCAGAAAACAAGUGAGGGUAUGGUUAUGAGUCCACUCACUGUCUUGUGAUGAUUCAUCAAUCCGGAAAUCCUUCCUGCCUACAGGUUGAAAACAUGUGCUCUCUGGGGUGUAUAACCACCCAAACAGUAAUACUCGCCCGCAUAUGCUGGGGGAAGGGCAGGGUUGGGCGGGGAGUUAAGCCAUAGUUAUCUCCCUCAACUAAGAAGAAUUACAUCUGACUCUCAAAAUUUGGAGUCCCAAACCACCUCACCAGCCAAGAUGUUUUUAGUAAUAUGUGUACAAACAUGUUACUUAAGGUUGCUGGAAGUUUCCUUGAGACCUCUGCUUACUGGAAGAUGUACAUGUUAAUACCUGGGCCAGAGAAAAGCUCACAGCUAUGGGUAGAGCAGUGCUCUGCAUGGGGAUACAUUUUAACUAACUUGACAAUGUAGCACUGCGUAAUACUAAUAUAACACAGCUUCAAAUUCUUAAUAAAAUUACUUUCACACCAUUCAGAUAACUCAAUUUCUUGGUGAUGAAACUACUUAAAUUAACCAGAGACUACCCUUUUUUUAGGACACACAAAAACUGCAGUAACUAACUUAUAGUUGUCAGGAAUGUGCUUGUUUAUGAACCUGAGACUUUUAGAACUGUAAAUGAUGGAGGACAGCUUAUGACACUAUGUGUGCAGACCCUCAGAGCAGGCUCUGGCUUUGUUACCUAACUCCAGUACAAAACAAAAAUUGCAACAAAUUAAAAAAUGAGAAAAAGUACCUGUAUAAGGAGAAAACAUUUCUCUACCAUUGGCCCAUCGAAAGCAUUUUUUAUGGUUAGCCUGUUAUAACCCUAUAGUUUUAAUGUUUUAUUUUGCCAUAAUUUUAGAUGUAUAGAAUUUUAGAUGUAUAGAAAAGUUGUGAGGAUAUAUAAAGAAUUCCAUGAUACUCUACCCAGAUGCCUCAAGUGUUUACAUUUUAGUAAAUUUGCUUUAUUCUUCUUUCCUUCUCUGUUUUCUUUUCCUGAACCAUUUAUUAGUUAACUGCAGACAUGCCCUAAAUACUUCAGAAUGUAUUUCCUUAAAACAAGGAAUUCUCUUACAUAACCAUAGCACAAUUAUCUGAACAGAAAAUUAACAUUGGUACAAUACAGUAAUCAAAUCAACACCUGAGAUUCACCAAAUACCCAGUAAUGUCCUUUAUAGCAAACAACAACAAAACCAAUACCAAUCACAGCAUUCAGUUGUCAUAUCUCCUUAAAAAAGGAAUAUUCCUGAGUCUUUGUAUUUCAUGACAUUGACAUUUUUGAAGAAUACAGGCCAUUUUGUAGAACAUCCUCAAUUUGGGUUUGUCUAAUGUUUCCUCAGGCUUAGACUAAAGUUAUGUAAUUCAGGGCCGGAAUACCACAGACAGGAUGCUGAGUUCUUCUCCUUGUAUCACAUCACACUGUCAACUCAUUCCACUAAUGCAGUAAACUCUGACCAUUUGGUUAAGGGGGUGCCUGCCACCCAUCAGAGAGCACAGCCAGAUUUGUGUACUGUAAAGUUACUACUUUAAGUCAUUCAUAACUAUCUUCUGGGGAAAUCAUCUAGAUUAUGUUAACAUCAUAUUAUGACUUAAAUUUUCACCCAUUAGUUUUAGCAUGCACUGAUGAUGCAUUCCUGCAAUCUUAAAAGACCUUUUAAAUACCCAAGAAGUUGCUUUACUCAAGAAAAUGCAUUAAUUGAAAAUAUUUUAAAAACCAAAACUUAUAUCUGCCUGAUUUACUGCAAUCACUGCUUUAAAAAAUCAAACACUGUAAAUAACUGAUGAGAUCUCAUACAUGGUGCUAAAAAAUUCCAUCAUGCAUUUCUGGGAAAUCCUAUUAUCACUACAUGUUUUGUACGUUCUCUUAAUACCCCUGAAAACCUCUGGUUCAACUUUAGUUUUCUGUCAUGCUAAACUAAUACAAGUAACUUGGUAAAUGAAAUUCACAGGUAUUAAUGGGGUUUUCCUUCCUUUUUAAAAAAAAAUUGGUUUUGGGAGGAGAAAGGAGUAUCAAUUACAUCAGACCUUCUCAUUUUGAGUCUUUCUAGAUAAUGCCAAUAUUAUUUUUUACUGAGGCUGCUGGUUCCACUGAAAUCAGUGGGCCCGUGAUGAUACUCAAUUAAAGAUAUGCUGCAGGGGACUUCCCUGGUGGCACAGUGGUUGAGAGUCCGCCUGCC